rnacentral:rRNA from 1 species
GACGAACGCUGGCGGCGUGCUUAACACAUGCAAGUCGAACGGAAAGGCCCUGCUUUUGUGGGGUGCUCGAGUGGCGAACGGGUGAGUAACACGUGAGUAACCUGCCCUUGACUUUGGGAUAACUUCAGGAAACUGGGGCUAAUACCGGAUAGGAGCUCCUGCUGCAUGGUGGGGGUUGGAAAGUUUCGGCGGUUGGGGAUGGACUCGCGGCUUAUCAGCUUGUUGGUGGGGUAGUGGCUUACCAAGGCUUUGACGGGUAGCCGGCCUGAGAGGGUGACCGGCCACAUUGGGACUGAGAUACGGCCCAGACUCCUACGGGAGGCAGCAGUGGGGAAUAUUGCACAAUGGGCGGGAGCCUGAUGCAGCAACGCCGCGUGCGGGAUAACGGCCUUCGGGUUGUAAACCGCUUUCGCCUGUGACGAAGCGUGAGUGACGGUAAUGGGUAAAGAAGCAGCGGCUAACUACGUG